AGAGUUUGAUCAUGGCUCAGAUUGAACGCUGGCGGCAGGCCUAACACAUGCAAGUCGAGCGGUAGCACAGAGAGCUUGCUCUCGGGUGACGAGCGGCGGACGGGUGAGUAAUGUCUGGGAAACUGCCUGAUGGAGGGGGAUAACUACUGGAAACGGUAGCUAAUACCGCAUAANGUCGCAAGACCAAAGUGGGGGACCUUCGGGCCUCAUGCCAUCAGAUGUGCCCAGAUGGGAUUAGCUAGUAGGUGGGGUAACGGCUCACCUAGGCGACGAUCCCUAGCUGGUCUGAGAGGAUGACCAGCCACACUGGAACUGAGACACGGUCCAGACUCCUACGGGAGGCAGCAGUGGGGAAUAUUGCACAAUGGGCGCAAGCCUGAUGCAGCCAUGCCGCGUGUGUGAAGAAGGCCUUCGGGUUGUAAAGCACUUUCAGCGGGGAGGAAGGCGAUAAGGUUAAUAACCUUGUCGAUUGACGUUACCCGCAGAAGAAGCACCGGCUAACUCCGUGCCAGCAGCCGCGGUAAUACGGAGGGUGCAAGCGUUAAUCGGAAUUACUGGGCGUAAAGCGCACGCAGGCGGUCUGUCAAGUCGGAUGUGAAAUCCCCGGGCUCAACCUGGGAACUGCAUUCGAAACUGGCAGGCUAGAGUCUUGUAGAGGGGGGUAGAAUUCCAGGUGUAGCGGUGAAAUGCGUAGAGAUCUGGAGGAAUACCGGUGGCGAAGGCGGCCCCCUGGACAAAGACUGACGCUCAGGUGCGAAAGCGUGGGGAGCAAACAGGAUUAGAUACCCUGGUAGUCCACGCCGUAAACGAUGUCGAUUUGGAGGUUGUGCCCUUGAGGCGUGGCUUCCGGAGCUAACGCGUUAAAUCGACCGCCUGGGGAGUACGGCCGCAAGGUUAAAACUCAAAUGAAUUGACGGGGGCCCGCACAAGCGGUGGAGCAUGUGGUUUAAUUCGAUGCAACGCGAAGAACCUUACCUGGUCUUGACAUCCACAGAACUU
rnacentral:rRNA from 1 species